AUUGAACGCUGGCGGCAGGCUUAACACAUGCAAGUCGAACGAUGAACCGGGUGCUUGCACUCGGGGAUUAGUGGCGAACGGGUGAGUAACACGUGAGCAACCUGCCCCUGACUCUGGGAUAAGCGCUGGAAACGGCGUCUAAUACUGGAUAUGUCCCGUCACCGCAUGGUGUGCGGGUGGAAAGAUUUUUCGGUUGGGGAUGGGCUCGCGGCCUAUCAGCUUGUUGGUGAGGUAAUGGCUCACCAAGGCGUCGACGGGUAGCCGGCCUGAGAGGGUGACCGGCCACACUGGGACUGAGACACGGCCCAGACUCCUACGGGAGGCAGCAGUGGGGAAUAUUGCACAAUGGGCGCAAGCCUGAUGCAGCAACGCCGCGUGAGGGAUGACGGCCUUCGGGUUGUAAACCUCUUUUAGCAGGGAAGAAGCGAAAGUGACGGUACCCGCAGAAAAAGCACCGGCUAACUACGUGCCAGCAGCCGCAGUAACAC
rnacentral:rRNA from 1 species